UGAUGACCCAAAAGAAAAAUCCCGUUCCCCUGAUCCUCAGAACAAACCCUAAAUCUAGACGCAGACGUUGCCGGCGGCAAGCCUCUAUCUCUUUCCGAUCUUGUCUGUUCUUUUAUUUUCUCAAGCAUGUCCACCGAGUACUUUUUUUUUAGCAGUGUGUCUCAAAGAAAAAGUAUACCCCUUAGCUCUCCAGUCCCAAGCAACAUGCGUGAGAUCCUAAUAAGGCAUGCCAUGAUGACCGGAAGCUGGCGGGCUUAUCCAUCUACAGACAUUACUGUGCAUGAUAUACUAGUCGUAGCGGAACAAUUUUUUCUUGUCCGAGUCCCUGAUUUCCUGCUUUUAUCCAAAAGGCAAAUGUAUACAGAGGAGCUGGCUGAAAUUCUUACCAAAAUGAGGGUCCCUAGAUUUGAGCAACCAGCUAUCAUUGAUAAACUAUUUAUGGGGGUUGAACUAGCUGACAACCCCGACUAGCCUAUUGCUUGUUACAUAAAGGAUGUCACCGUAUUUCAUCGUCCGCAUACCCUUCAAUUAGAUUGUUUCGAGAAAGUGAGAAUUGAUAAUUUGGAAGAUAUUGAUAGAGAGAAACAAUGUGUCAUUUGUAAGGAGAGCCUUGGUUGCUUUGAGGGUGUAGAAGAAGGGAUUGAUCAUGGUCAGCGGAUGAUUAUUCGCUUGUUCUGCUCACAUCUUUAUCACGAAGAUUGCAUUUUCCAAUGGCUGGUGACGAGUCCGUUAUGCCCCAUGUGCCGAUACUCAGUGCCGGUUGUGGAACAGGCAAUGCCGGUUGUGGAACAGGCAAUGCCGGUUGUGGAACAGGCAAUGCCAGUUGUGGAACAGGCAGCGGAGCUAUCAAAACCAUCAUGGCGGCAGCUGCAUUGGCCUAUGCUGCUCACAGCGUCUGCGGGUGGUAUAUUAACUGCUUUGCUGGUAUGUAGAUUAUUGAAGCAAAGGCAAGUGUGAUGUUAUCAGCAUAUCAGCAAUUUCAUCAAAAUUAAAUAUGCUGAGUAACUUCUUGUUUUCAUAUUAGCUCCCUUCUUUUUAGCCUGUAAUGUGGAUCAUGCAAAGUUGAUAUGAAUAAUCGUAUAGUGCAAGACAACAGUUCCGUGCUACAUUAGACGGCCCUUCAUUUCGAGGGAACUUUUGUCACCGCAUCAAUUUUGUGAUGGAUUUCUGUCAGAAGUCAGACUUGUUCAUACAUGGAAAGAUUUUGUAGUGUCUUACUUGAA